AUACUGAUACGGGGCUCUUUCGGGUCUCGUAAUUGGAAUGAGUACAAUCUAAACCCCUUAACGAGGAACAAUUGGAGGGCAAGUCUGGUGCCAGCAGCCGCGGUAAUUCCAGCUCCAAUAGCGUAUAUUAAAGUUGUUGCCGUUAAAAAGCUCGUAGUUGAACCUUGGACCUGGCUGAUCUGUCCUCCUAAUCGAGCGCACGGAUUCGGUCGGGUCUUUCCUUCUGGGGAGCCCUAUGCCCUUCACUGGGUGUAGUGGGGAACCAGGACUUUUACCUUGAAAAAAUUAGAGUGUUCAAAGCAGGCCUUUGCUCGAAUACAUUAGCAUGGAAUAAUAGAAUAGGACAUCGGUUCUAUUUUGUUGGUUUCUAGGACCGCUGUAAUGAUUAAUAGUGAUAGUCGGGGGCGUCAGUAUUCAAUUGUCAGAGGUGAAAUUCUUGGAUUUAUUGAAGACUAACUACUGCGAAAGCAUUCGCCAAGGAUGUUUUCAUUAAUCAGUGAACGAAAGUUAGGGGAUCGAAGACGAUCAGAUACCGUCGUAGUCUUAACCAUAAACUAUGCCGACUAGGGAUCGGACGGUGGUUUUUUUAUGCCCCGUUCGGCACCUUACGAGAAAUCAAAGUUUUUGGGCUCGGGGGGGAGUAUGGUCGCAAGGCUGAAACUUAAAGAAAUUGACGGAAGGGCACCACCAGGCGUGGAGCCUGCGGCUUAAUUUGACCCAACACGGGGAAACUCACCAGGUCCAGACAUGCUUAGGAUUGACAGAUUGAUAGCUCUUUCUUGAUUGUAUGGGUGGUGGUGCAUGGCCGUUCUUAGUUGGUGGAGUGAUUUGUCUGCUUAAUUGCGAUAACGAACGAGACCUUGACCUGCUAAAUAGCCAGGUUGACUUUUGUCGGCCGCCGGCUUCUUAGAGGGACUUUUGGCUCAAGCCAAUGGAAGUACGAGGCAAUAACAGGUCUGUGAUGCCCUUAGAUGUUCUGGGCCGCACGCGCGCUACACUGACAGAGCCAGCGAGUACAUCACCUUGGCCGAAAGGUCUGGGUAAUCUUGUUAAACUCUGUCGCGCUGGGGAUAGAGCAUUGCAAUUAUUGCUCUUCAACGAGGAAUGCCUAGUAAGCGCAAGUCAUCAGCUUGCGUUGAUUACGUCCCUGCCCUUUGUACACACCGCCCGUCGCUACUACCGAUUGAAUGGCUCAGUGAGGCCUUGGGACUGGCUCAGAGAGGUCGGCAACG
rnacentral:rRNA from 1 species